CCGCGAAAAAACCACCACACCGCGCCCGCGCGUGAGGGUGCAGCGCACCACGUGAAGGGAAAAACCACUGCGCCGUGGUGAGCCCCGCGCCCGUCCGCUUUCUCCUCCCGUUCCCUCAGUCUCCAACCCUAAAUCUUUUCCCCCUACAGCCGCCUUCCCAAUCUCCUCAUCCCCUCCACUCCCUCGACAAUGGUGGCGGCGGCGCCCUCUGGUGGCGGAGGAGGAGGGGGGAGAUGGUGGCGGCGGCGCCCUCUGGUGGCGGAGGAGGAGGGGGGAGAUGGUGGCGCAGCGGCGACCUUCCCCUCACGCAUCCCAUCCCCCCUCGUCAUCCCGGAUCACACCGGACCCGAGGCGUGCGGGCGCGGCAGCGACCUGCAAGGGAAGGGCGACGCUCGAAUCGAUCCAGCCAUGGAUCGGUCCCUGCGGGAGAAAGAGAAAAUGAGGACCUCCGUGCUCAACAGGAGGAGCCGGGGUUGCUGAUCCGGCCGGCCCAGAUCCACACGCCUCCUCCUUCGGCCACCUCGCCCCACCAGCUUCCAGCUCCGUGGAUCCGCCGAGGAUGGAGGGCAGCAAGUGAGAGGGAGCAGGGGAAGAUGUGAAUCGAGGGAGUGAAAGAAGGAUCUCACAGGGGAAGAGGAAGAAGGAGUCUAGCGGUGUAUCCUCGUCUCAUCCCUGGCUGCACCUCUUCUGAUGCCAUGGCACCAGUGGUGGCUCGUCGAUGGAGCACCUCCUUCCAUGACGGCACCACCAGCGACUCUUGCUCGACGCCACGAUACACAACAUCGAGGCCACCCCUGAUGCUCAGGCUGAUGCUUCUUCGCUUGAUGCUGAAGAAAAGGAUGAUCAGAUUCAGACGCCCAAGAACAACAGGAUAUGAGUAGCAUUACUCAAAAUUUUGCUUUGAGAAGAAUCUAAUGAUGUAUCCAAUUUCACAUCCAAGCUACUAUGAAUAUUAUGAUUGAGCGACUGCUUGGCGAUGUCAUCGUCAGAGGCUCAGGCCUCCUCCCUGGACAAGGCACUCGUGCUAGGCGGUGGCGAUCUGUGCGCCGGUUCAAGAGGCGGUAAGACGGUCGCAAGAAUGCCAAGCUCUUCAGCUGUGGCAUCAUGCAAUAAUGGAAUUGAGCAUUCUGGGCAAAACAUAAAGGACAACGAAUAUGCAAGGUUGGUGACACCAGUUGAACAUGCAACAGCUGACAAGAAAUUUUGCCUGAGCAACCAAAGUUAAGACACUUCAUUUGGUGAAUGAAAGUUUUGCUUGGAUGCUUCCAUCUUAUAUUAGCAUCUUAUAUCUUCGGGAAAUUUGGCGCACUGUGGGUCGAGCUCGCUGCUGGAGGCGGCGGCGGCGGCCGGCGCGCCGAUGCAGACAUGGCCGAUGGUGUUCGACCAGUUCAUCGAGGAGAGGCUGGUCACAGACGUUCUCAAGAUCGGCGAGAAGGUGUGGGGCGGGGCGCGGAGCACGAAGGAGGAGAAGGAGAUGGUGCCGGCCGAGGUGGUGGCGAGGUUCUUGGAACCAGGCGGAACGGGGGAGACGGCGAGGGACCGAGCGCAGGAGCUCCCAGUGAAGGCUCGUGCGGCCGUGUCGAAAGGCGGGUCGUCGUCCUGUGAUCUGUGCAGGCUUAUCGACGACCUGAUGGAAACAAGGGAGGCCGUCGCCGGCGGCGACACUACUACGUCACGCGCUGCUGAGAUAUAGCGCCAUUGUUGUAUUUCCCUGUUCUUCAAUCUGUUUGUAAACAUGUAACACCGGCCGCUUAAUCUGUUCUGUAUUUCCCUUUGCCUACUAUCCCUAUGGUGUUCAUCAUCUCAGGGAUUUGCUGGCACUGGAUCCAGUAGGAGGAGAUCCCUGUGGCAUUUGAUUCUUGUGGGAUUCCCACACAUCUUGCAGGAUCAACAGGUUAUCAACACCUUCUCAGUCCCUCUGCACCCAUGACCCAGGUUUGGUUCCUCUGGUGGUGGAGGAUUUUUUUUGUUCUAUUCGGAUGUGGGUUUCCGUACAUGAUCACAUGAUAAUGCCAUGAGUGACUAUGGGCCACUACCAAGAAGAGGCUCUAAUUAGCUUCAUUGAUAUGUUGCUUUGCUGAGCACGACACAAAUCGAAAGACUUUUCUGUACCAGGCCAAACCAACUACUUGCAUAUUGAAGAAACUUCCAUGAUGUUUUACGUGUGGAUUCUAACAACUGAUCUAGCGUAUAUGUUAUCAUAGCAGAAUAAGAGAUGCGCUCAAACCAGUGGAUUUUUCAUCCAAGAUGCUUUUAUAAGAAAUGCGGCAAACAUCAGUAAUGGACUGCACCAGGUAUCAUCUCUGUGCCAUGGGGUGUGUCGUGGGGACUGAUCCGUGGCUGAGGUCGACAAAAAAACAGGGGAGCCCACGAACAACCAAAUUCCAGACUGGUUUUUGUCAUAUCGGACAUUAGUCAUGAAAGUUGCAGUCUUUCAUUUUUAUCAUACAAAGCACACUGAUUGGUUCUCAUGGGAUAGCGAUGCCUUUCAGUUGUUCUUGUCUGUACAUCCGAGUAAGGAUAACUACACACUUCUAAAAUUGUCAGUACAUACAAAUUGAUCUUUCUGGUGAUUGCUUUGGUAAUAACUACAAACUUCUAAAUUUGUCAUCUUUUUGGUUUGCAUAGCUAAUUUCCCCUGAGGAUUGUAGUAACGUUUAAACAAGUAUUUACACUUCUAAACAAGUAUGGAAAAAGGCGACUUGCUUGAACUGAAUCAGCCAUAAACCUCCCUUAAUUAUGUGCAUGUCUACAAAAACUUUAGGUCUGCCUCCCUGUAGAAAUACACAAGUAUAUUUGUAACACUUAGAUGCUUGCCUAUGUAAGCUUGCAUCACAGACCAGCAAGGAGGAAGACGAAGCCCGGGUUCAGCCCCGUUGGAGUUGGCAUCUGCUCACAGCAAGCUGCAGAUGAUGUCCGUAUUUUGUUUCUUUUCUCCUGUGGCAAACACAAGCAGGUGCUGAGAUAAGGCAGAAUUAUAUUCAGAUUCGUAGCUGCUAGGUAGUAUAUUUUAGCACUAAGUUUCUUUUAAAUUAUGGGCAUAAUCUGUGCGGAAUUUCAAUUUACUCCUAAAACAACAGUUGUAGCUCUUGUUUUUAUGUUUCCAAUGGUGCUGGUUUCACUGAAAUUUGAUUGGUAGUUUAGGAGUUAGGCCAGAAAAGGUGCUACUGUUUAGUAAUAGCGAGGCUGUGAGAAGAUCUAUUUACCUAUGUUCAACCAAGUUAGAGACAGUUUCAGUCCCAAUCACCUUAAAUAAAGUUGUAGGAAAUUCUCUAUGGGUAUCUUAAAAUAGUUUAUUUACUGAGAUCGGUUAAGUGGUUUAAAAGCUAUGAACAGAACAAUGAGUGACUCAGUAACUCAGUUUAAGUUUCAGCUAAAUUUAGAACUGGUUAUUUAGGUUUUUUACUUCAGGGAAAUAUUAAUGUAUUCAUGAAAUAGAUAUUUAAGUUUUUUUGUAUGUGAGUUGAUAUAACUUUUAUGUACUGCAGGCAGUUCGUUUAAAUCCACAUAACAGUGCCUUUAGUAGGCGAUAGCAAGGUAGUCAGACAAUCUUAGUUUGGGGAAAUAAGAUAGGUUACCUGACGAUACAUUGAAAGAGAAAGGAAUAUUGAUAUUUUGUCGAUGACGUGAACUGCAAAAGGAUGCUCUUGGUGACAGCAUCCUGGGCUUCUGAAACAUGCUCAGUUUAGCUGAAAUGAUGUAUUCAAUUAUGCAGAGAGAUGGAAUUGUUCGAACUCGAGUGCCACCAAUCGACGGCAUACCAAGACAUUACCACGAGAGCAGCGGUGCUUCCAGGAUGAAGAAUGAAUGCAUGUCAUUCAGGGAUAACUGUGGGCAAUGAAAUGUUGAAGGGUCCAUCUCUCACCCCACUCCAUAUAGAUGCUUAGUUCUUCAUGGCGAUUGUCUCUAAUGUUUUUGUUUGUAAUAUAUUUUGGCUUGGAAAUAUAAAAACUCAAUGCCGCCUGUCACACAAUUUUUUGUCGUCCGGGCAAACCCCCCUUUCCAUUAAUUUCUUGAUGUAUGGUUAUUGAUGCAGUCUUCUAGACGAAGAUGGAUUUAGGCUGUGUGAUUCCAUAGUAUACCUUGCACUUCCUUUAAGCAUGAAUAUCUGAACGUGCACGGUGUAUAUUUCUCAGCCAUGUUGUUUUUCUAUUUAUAUUUUCAGGACACAUAAAGUACAUGUAUUGCAUUAGAAUAUAACUUCUACUUCUGUGCUAUUAUUUUCCUUCAUGGUAUAUGUGGCAGAACACCAUGUAUAUCUAACAUCUUCAGGUUUCAGGAUUUAAAUGCCCUUUGUUUUCUGUAGGUGGUUACCUGAGAUUUUAUUUGAUUACUCUAUUAGAUCGUAAGCAAAUUAAGACAUAUGUUGAUCUUGCAAUUGAUAGCAUUUCCUGUCAUAUUGUUGAUUCUCUUACAGAUCCACCACCUCAGAUGGUGCUGACAGGGUGCAAAGCAGUCUUCCUUAGAGCUUUGGUACCGGGUUUUAAGGAGAACAUUUGCCCUCAUGAAGCCCCACUUUGUGGUGAUUGCAGCUGUAGCUAAGGAGGGUACCCGUCAGCGCCAGCUCACUGCUUGCCUAUGUAAUCAAUCUAUAUUUCCAACCUUUUUGUUUAUGGUAAGUAGAACAACGCCUAGAAAGAAUGAAAGACUGUUUCUAAAUUCUAAUUACCUUUGCUGCAUCUAACCUAACUGCCAUGCCUAUGUGACCACUAAAGCAAAUACCAUUGUUUCAUCUGCAGCGUAGUCCAGAUUUAGUUUUAGUGAUUUCUUAACCCUUUUGUUCUUGCUCUGAAGAUUAAGACAUGCACGGGCCUUAGACUAUAGUAAGCAUCUAUGUUAUACGCAUCUUUUCAUUGCCGCGUAUACUAAAUGUAAUCAGGGACUUACUAAUAUUGAUGUAUCCCCUCAGUUGUAUUGGUACUACUACAUAUUCGUCAUGACACUACCAAUUAUAUAUAGCAAAUUCAAAGGUGUCUAUAUGAUGCAUCUCUACCUAUGUGUCUUGCUUGUUAAAAACAAUGUAAAUAAGCUACAAGAUAACUAAAGAAGCAUACAACUAUGUGGAGGAAGUGUGUGCUACAUCAAACAAAAUUCAUGGCCUUGCUGGCAUUAGCCUUGGACCCUGCUGCCUCAAUGUCUGUUUCUAAUCUGAAGCAGGCUCUCAUGGAGAUUCACGAUGUAGUGGUCGCACUUCAAAACACUGCAACCACAACAUCUCAGUUCCUAGAGGAAAAAGGCAUGUACUCAGAUGAUGAAGUGCCUGAUCCAUUCUAUAGGGGCAUUCUGAUGAAGAUUCAGCUGAUGAUUGUCAUCAAGACAUGGACGACGACUACGGUCACUAUGUCCGAUCCCCAUGAGCAUCAUAUUCAGCCUGCUAAGCUGUCUGAUGCCAUGUGAAGCUGUAUAUGUAUAGCUUCACCAUUACGACUUGGUUCUGUGGCUGUUGUGUUUAUUCUCCUAUGCUGGCUGAAUAAGAUGCGAAGCUCUUUGUUUAUAGCUUUGCCUUAGAUUUUUUUUCCUUUUUGAACUGCACUAUGGUCAUGUAUAAGUAUGAAAUCCAUGUUGAUGCGUUGAGCUUAUUUAUCUAUGUUGCAUCUUUGCUUU